AGAUACGUCUCGGGGCACGGCCCCUUCGUCAGAAACGAGAUAAGUUCAAAUCCAUGUCCUUAAAUAUUUAAGUAUUUAAGGACAUGGAUUGAACUUAUCUCGUUUCUGACGAAGGGGCUGUGCCCCGAAACGUAUCU